CACACACACACACACACACACACACACACACACACACACACACACACACACACACACACACACACACACACACACACACACACACACACACACACACACACACACACACACACACACACAAAUCUUGUGUCAUCUCAUGCACCCACAGCAAAUACACACCUCCUCGUCCUUCACUGUCUGGUCCGUCUCCAUUGGCUCCUCGCCCUCAGCUGUUUUGAUGGUUUCAACGAGCGACGCGCUCGAUACACUGAACACACCGUGAACAUUGACCCGAACCUUCACCUUGACCUUUGCACUCUCCCCAGAUGCCUGAGGAACCACAUUCUGGACAAGGAACUGACCUGCAGGGCAAAGGAAACGGCCACAGCUGGCAGAAAGGGAGUCUGUGUUGUGCAUCACAAACAGGACUUCAGUGUUGGUAGCUGAAGGUGACCUGUACCUGCAGAGCACAGCCUCUGGCCACGGCCUCGUCCGCGUUCAGGGUGGUGCUCAGCUCUUUGCCGAAGAAUUUGCUGAUUCGCUCCUUGAUGGCAGGGAUUCUGGAGGCACCACCGACGAUCUCCACUGCGUAGAUGUCUUCCUUUUUCAGCUCUGGAUACAGGAAGCAGGAGAUACGUGUCAUUCAAAGCAGAGGCUUCUUAAGUUUAGACAGUUUCCAAAACUCUCUUAGGUAUAUAUGUGUGUACUCUGUCUUAAUGAAAGAAACUCAUGUGUAUAAAAUAACAUUUAGUGCCUAUUUAAAAUGGCAUAGCUGAUAUAAUCUGAUAUAUUUUUAUUACUUUGCGCCACAAAUUAUGCAUGCCUCCAGCAUGCCUGAGAUAGAAAGGAGCAUUAUUGCUUCCUUUCUGUCCCAGGCAUGCCACCAUUGUCCGGAGGGAAGGGCUGUCUCAGCAAAGCAUGUGACUGAGCCUCGUCUACGCAAGUGUGCAUGUGCGUACGGGGAUAUUCCAGCUGCUAUUAAAGUCAUAUGUACUCACUGGCUUGUUCCAUGACACUGCGCAGGGGACCCUCGACUUUGGCCAGCAGCCCCGCACACAUCUCCUCAAACUGACCUCUGGGGACAAAUGGUCAUAGAUUAUUAAUAGAUGCAGAUUCACACACACACACACACACACACACACACACACACACACACACACACACACACACACACACACACACACACACACACACACACACACACACACACACACACACACA